UCCUCCUCAGGAAGUGAUACUCCCGAAGGAAGUGAUGAUAUCUCGAUUGGAGGAGAUUCAAACGAUGGAGAAAAUUCAGAAAUCGGACAUUCAGACGACGGAGAAAAUUCAGAUGUCGGAUUUUCAUCUCCUGGUGCUGGUAGUUCAGGAAGUAUUCAAUUGGGAAGUGACGAUGGAAUCUCCUUUGGAGGAGGUUUUAAUGGUGGAAUAAACUUAGGUGGAAGUUCAUCUUCGGACAGUGGAAGUAGCUCGACAGGAGAAAUAAACUCAGAUGGUGGAUCCUCAUAUUCGGGAGGCAGUGGUCUAGAAAGUCAAGGGUCCUCCGGAGGAAGCAGUGACGACACCAUUCCAAAGGGAAAUGGAGGUUUUUCACUAAACGAUUUACUGAGUGGAGGAAGCUUGUUAGAUUCUUCGUCAAAUUCAGGUCCAGUUAUAUUUGAAAAUACCACCCCCGAUAAAAAGAGUACUGAGUAAUAUUAUACAAAUAUUAAAGAAAUCCUCAGAGUA